AUGAGAUGAGAUCAAUGUUUGGACAUGUGAUUUCAUAUUGAUUUCAUCUCAUGA
rnacentral:pre_miRNA from 1 species